GAUUAACGCUAGCGGCAGGCCUAAUACAUGCAAGUCGAACGGUAACAGGUGUAGCAAUACAUGCUGACGAGUGGCGCACGGGUGCGUAACACGUAUGCAACCUACCUAUAACUGGGGAAUAGCCUUCCGAAAGGAAGAUUAACACCGCAUAACAUCACGAAACGGCAUCGUUUUGUGAUCAAACCUCCGGGGGUUAUAGAUGGGCAUGCGUAACAUUAGCUAGUUGGUGAGGUAAUGGCUCACCAAGGCUACGAUGUUUAGGGGGUCUGAGAGGAUGAUCCCCCACACUGGUACUGAGACACGGACCAGACUCCUACGGGAGGCAGCAGUAAGGAAUAUUGGACAAUGGGGGCAACCCUGAUCCAGCCAUGCCGCGUGAAGGAUGAAGGCCCUCUGGGUUGUAAACUUCUUUUGUACGGGAAUAAACCCCUUUACGUGUAGAGGGUUGAAUGUACCGUAAGAAUAAGGAUCGGCUAACUUCGUGCCAGCCGCCGCGGUAA
rnacentral:rRNA from 1 species